rnacentral:lncRNA from 1 species
UGGGAGGGCUCUGAUUUGGCAGGGAGAAUGAGAUAGGAAGUAAGCUGGGUCCAGUAUUUGAGAUCAGGUCUGAACAAGGUCCUGCUCUCUGGUGCUUUCCUGAUUGCUAUGGAAUAGAACUGGAGCCGAGAACCAGAUGCUUUCUGUUUAUCCUCAUCAUAAUUUAACAUUAUCCAUGUUAGCUGGACAGUAUCCUCUGAAUUUCAGUGCAAUUCGGCAGCAACAAACCUAGUGAAAUCUUCAGGAAAGUCUCUAUAAAAGCACUGUGAUCCAAAACAGCCAAGUUCUG